rnacentral:rRNA from 1 species
CCUACGGGUGGCAGCAGUAGGGAAUCUUUCACAAUGGGCGAAAGCCUGAUGGAGCAACGCCGCGUGCAGGAUGAAGGCCCUCUGGAUGUAAACUGCCUUUAUACGCGAGAAAUAUGAUGGUAACUUAUGAAUUAGGAUCGGCUAACUACGUGCCAGCAGCCGCGGUAAUACGGAGGAUCCGAGCGUUCUCCGGAUUGAGUGGGCUUAAAGGGUGCGUAGGCGGAAUAUCAAGUCAGCGGUAAAAAUUCGGGGCUCAACCCCGUCGUGCCGUUGAAACUGAUGUUCUUGAGUGGGCGAGAAGUAUGCGGAAUGCGUGGUGUAGCGGUGAAAUGCAUAGAUAUCACGCAGAACUCCGAUUGCGAAGGCAGCAUACCGGCGCCCAACUGACGCUGAAGCACGAAAGCGUGGGUAUCGAACAGGAUUAGAUACCCCAGUAGUC